CCUCGGCAAAUGACAAGACGGAAUGGAGAAUAUUCGGGCCAAAUGGGCCUGUAUGAGCUGGCCCAGUAAAAUCCGCAGUGAUUUUUUUGGCAAAUAUAAAAAAUAUUACGUAAAAUCAAGUAAAAAGAUGGGAUAUGGAAAGAGUCUAUGUUGGGUGAAUAUACGCAAAUCCAUCAAAAUAUGGAAAAGUCUUCCAUGCAAGUUUUUGGAAACCACAUGGAAAAUUUCACAAAGCGCUUUGUCUUGUCUUUGGUGGAGCUUCAGAUUAGGGUUUCUGCGGUUUCUUUCGAGGAGUUUUAGAGAUCCGUCCACCAAGCUUCUUGGAUGGAGAGCCAAACUCCAUCAGCCCGGACUUUCGUUGUAAAAGUUGAUGUAAAGUGUUGCAACGGUUGCCAAACAGUUGUCAAGAGAAAGUUGCAGCGUCUCUCUGGUGAUUUUCCUCUUCAUCUUUUUUUCUUUUUUAAAUAUAUUCUACAAACUGCAAAUCUGAUAAAAAGAAGAAAAAAAA